rnacentral:rRNA from 1 species
UACAGAGGUCUCAAGCGUUGUUCGGAUUCACUGGGCGUAAAGGGUGCGUAGGCGGGUCUUUAAGUCAGAGGUGAAAUCCUGGAGCUCAACUCCAGAACUGCCUUUGAUACUGAGGAUCUUGAGUUCGGGAGAGGUGAGUGGAACUGCGAGUGUAGAGGUGAAAUUCGUAGAUAUUCGCAAGAACACCAGUGGCGAAGGCGGCUCACUGGCCCGAUACUGACGCUGAGGCACGAAAGCGUGGGGAGCAAACAGG